rnacentral:rRNA from 1 species
CAGUCGCCGCGGGAAUACAGAGGGUGCGAGCGUUAAUCGGAUUUACUGGGCGUAAAGCGUGCGCAGGCGGUUAUAUAAGACAGAUGUGAAAUCCCCGGGCUCAACCUGGGAACUGCAUUUGUGACUGUAUAGCUAGAGUACGGCAGAGGGGGAUGGAAUUCCGCGUGUAGCAGUGAAAUGCGUAGAUAUGCGGAGGAACACCGAUGGCGAAGGCAAUCCCCUGGGCCUGUACUGACGCUCAUGCACGAAAGCGUGGGGAGCAAACAGGAUUAGAUACCCCGGUAGUCCCUGUCUCUUAUAC